UACGUAGGUGGCAAGCGUUUGUCCGGAAUUAUUGGGCGUAAAGCGCGUGUAGGCGGUUCGGUAAGUCUGCUGUGAAAGUCGGGGGCUCAACCCUCGAAUGCCGGUGGAUACUGUCGGACUAGAGUGCGGAAGAGGCGAGUGGAAUUCCUGGUGUAGCGGUGAAAUGCGCAGAUAUCAGGAGGAACACCAAUUGCGAAGGCAGCUCGCUGGGACGUUACUGACGCUGAGACGCGAAAAGCGUGGGGGAGCAAACAGG
rnacentral:rRNA from 1 species